rnacentral:lncRNA from 1 species
GGAGGAUGGCAUAAUUUAUAACCCAGCACAUGGAUGGAGGAACUGUAAAUUGCAGUCUGGAUGUCCCCGACGCUGUCAACGAAGGAACUGAUGGGCUAGGUGACUGUACCAGUGUCCCCAGAGAAAAUCGCAGCCUCGCAGCAUGGAUUUAAAUGCAUGUGCAUGCAUGUAGAGACAUGAAAAAGGUUUCUGACCAUUUUACACAGGAAGUCUGUCACUUUGCUGGAUCGGGCUUGAUUGCAGCUUGUGUUUUCAGCUCCAGCUCAACACCCAUUUCCUGACUAGUGAGACAGCAUGGCCAAAGCAGCUGCAUGCAGAAUUUUCUUUUUACUUGGAAAGCAAGCCCCCUCUGUUUUAACUCCUUCCAGUUCUGAAUGCUCUGUGCUUUGCUAGGACCGAUUGUGGGGUUUUGUUUUCUUCUUCUACAAAUCCCUGUAAACACAGCUGUAUUCAGUAAUGGCAAAAAAUUCUAUCCUGUAAAUAGAAAUCUGAUCAAUUUAAUCAAAAUAAAUGUAUCCCAGAUGACUUUGAGACCAGCUGGCUACCACAGGCUUCAGAUGCUAAAUGCUCAGUGGAGAUGAAUACAGUGUUAUAUUUACAUGUUUCAGAAUGCCGGGAUCAGCCUAUAAUUUGCAAAAAGAAAUUAUUUUCUAAGGAGGAGAGGUGGUCCUACCAGCUCACAGCUAAGAUGGCUAGAUACAGGUGUAAAUGCUCUUCAUGUGAUUUGGAGAUUUGCAGUGUUGCAUUUCAAAAGGCAUGUGCCAUGAGGCAGAGUAUGGCCGUUGUCAGUAUGGAGAAUGCUCGCUUCUAACUUGCUGUUAUGGAGAGCCGAAUGCCCUCCAAGUAGCUUCUAGUGAGGUUGAGGGCAGGCACUUGAGGCUUGUUGUAGAUUCAAAUGUGAGGACUGGGGUUCUCCAACCCCAGCUCAGUGGAGUCAGCUCAACCCUGGGGGUGAGGAGCUUUCCCAGUUGUCAUGGGGAGCUCUUCUGGGACGCCUGUCUGGCCCUUCCACUGUUUGUUACUAAUUCUACAAAGGCAGCUCUGUGUGUUGGAUUAUGUUUGGCCAGCUGUUGGUGCAUUCCUGCGGGUGGGGCUGGGUGAGGAUCUUAUUACUGUACUUUCAAACUGUAGAUCUGUGUGCAGGGAUAGUACAGAAGAAAGCAAAAGCAGCUCACAGGCCGAAGGAAUUUUCCUUGUCUUGGAUGAGACUUUUGACUUGGACUUUUGGGUUAAGGGCACCAAGGAAGAGAACCAAUGGCAGAAGUCACACGUGCAAGCAAGAUGGGAGUCUGGAGAGCCUCAGGCUAAAUCACCAGUGCUCAGCCCUCUUCUCUUUUUCAAGAAACGUGGCUAUACCAACUCGUCACAGCGCCCAUCCCACUUUCUAGAAGACUUUGAUAUCUCACUCAGAGCAACUUCUGCCAGGAGUUUAUAUUGUGUGCAGCUGAUUCAGGCAGUAACUUCCACUCAGCGAGGGGGUCCAUUUAAGAAAAAUUACUUCUCUUCCUUUUAUGCCCAGUAUGGUUCUUAA